UUACGGUCAAAUCACGCUGAAACACCGGUUCUCGUUCGAUCACCGAAGUUAAGCAUCGUAGAGCCAUAUCAGUACUUAGAUGGGGGACCGCUUGGGAACACCUGGUACUGUAAG
rnacentral:rRNA from 1 species